AAGACCCUCGAGGCCACGCCUCCCGGCUAGUAGAGACAGAAAUCGCUGAGUCGGCUCCCUUGCCCUCUUGUUUCACCUCUUGGAAGGAACUCCUCUUCAAGUCCAGGCUGGUCACGGGCAGCUUCCCUCAGUGAUGAACUAUGAUAUGUUGUUACCUGAAAGAAACCCUCUCCUCCCUAAGUUGUUUUUGGUCAGUACGCUGGAUAGUUUGAUGUCAACGUGAUGCGAGCUGGAGUCAUUGGAGAAGUGGGAACCCCAAGUAAGAAAAUGUCUCCAUUAGAUCUGGCUAAGGUUGAGCAAGCCAUGUGGAGCAAGUCUGUAAGUAGCAAGUAGCACCCCUCCGUGGCCUCUGCAUCAGCUCCUGGUUCCAGUUUCCUGCCAUGACGCUCUUCAAUGAUGAACAGUGCCGUGGAAGUUUAAGCCAAAUAAACCCUUUUCUCCACA